rnacentral:rRNA from 1 species
AUGGCAGCCUGCUUCCGUGGGUCGGCGUGGCAUGCUCUGACGGGGUUCGAUGGCGACAGCCUCUUCUGUGCUCUCGUCUCCGUCAAGCGUCGGCACCCUCGUACAUGUCAGCUGUACCGUCAAGCGGUAUGGAUGUACUCGCGAAUGAUGAGCGACUUGGCCAGGGUGCAGCCGUCGACGAUGAGCACGGAGACCUUGCAUCCAUGGAUGGGGUUCAGUAGUAGUCGGCCCCGACUGGGAGCAAGGGGCUGGAUAACGACGAACGAAACGGACGUCAAGAUCAAAGAGAGGAAGGCUACUGCCGAUGGAUUCGUUGGGAUGCCGGAGCCGAGGAGAGGCUCCCAGACGCUCACAGGAGAGGCGACGGCGGUAGAUGUAGUUCCUGAUGGGAUCGGCCUUGGCGUACGCCUCCUUGUGACCUCGUCCGCCUCCGCAGGAUUCACCCGUCCCCUUGUCUCUAUCUAA